CUAGGGUGGCAGCAGUGGGGAAUAUUGGACAAUGGGCGAAAGCCUGAUCCAGCCAUGCCGCGUGUGUGAAGAAGGCCUUCGGGUUGUAAAGCACUUUCAGUGGGGAAGAAAGCCUUGGGGCUAAUACCCUCGAGGAAGGACAUCACCCACAGAAGAAGCACCGGCUAACUCCGUGCCAGCAGCCGCGGUAAUACGGAGGGUGCGAGCGUUAAUCGGAAUUACUGGGCGUAAAGCGCGCGUAGGCGGUCUGAUAAGCCGGUUGUGAAAGCCCCGGGCUCAACCUGGGAACGGCAUCCGGAACUGUCAGGCUAGAGUGCAGGAGAGGAAGGUAGAAUUCCCGGUGUAGCGGUGAAAUGCGUAGAGAUCGGGAGGAAUACCAGUGGCGAAGGCGGCCUUCUGGACUGACACUGACGCUGAGGUGCGAAAGCGUGGGUAGCAAACAGGAUUAGAUACCCCGGUAGUC
rnacentral:rRNA from 1 species